CGAAGCAGUUAAGUUGAUUUCUUCGGAAGAGAGCGGCGGACGGGUGAGUAACGCGUGGGUAACCUGCCUCACACAGGGGGACAACAGUUGGAAACGGCUGCUAAUACCGCAUAAGCGCACGGGAUCGCAUGAUCCAGUGUGAAAAACUCCGGUGGUGUGAGAUGGACCCGCGUCUGAUUAGGUAGUUGGUGGGGUAACGGCCCACCAAGCCGACGAUCAGUAGCCGACCUGAGAGGGUGACCGGUCACAUUGGGACUGAGACACGGCCCAAACUCC
rnacentral:rRNA from 1 species